rfam:Kluyveromyces marxianus DMKT3-1042 DNA, complete genome, chromosome 5.
CUCUCGGUAGCCAAGUUGGUUUAAGGCGCCAGACUGUAAUGUGAUAUAAAAUUGUAAUCUGGAGAUCGGGCGUUCGACUCGCCCCCGGGAGA